rnacentral:rRNA from 1 species
UACGUAGGGGGCAAGCGUUAUCCGGAUUUACUGGGUGUAAAGGGAGCGUAGACGGCGAUGCAAGCCAGAUGUGAAAGCCCGGGGCUCAACCCCGGGACUGCAUUUGGAACUGUGAGGCUGGAGUGUCGGAGAGGCAAGUGGAAUUCCUAGUGUAGCGGUGAAAUGCGUAGAUAUUAGGAGGAACACCAGUGGCGAAGGCGGCUUGCUGGACGAUGACUGACGUUGAGGCUCGAAAGCGUGGGGAGCAAACAGG